AACGAACGCUGGCGGCAGGCCUAACACAUGCAAGUCGAACGCCCCGCAAGGGGAGUGGCAGACGGGUGAGUAACACGUGGGAAUCUACCCAGUGGUACGGAACAACCAAGGGAAACUUUGGCUAAUACCGUAUACGUCCUUCGGGAGAAAGAUUUAUCGCCAUUGGAUGAGCCCGCGUCGGAUUAGGUAGUUGGUGAGGUAAUGGCUCACCAAGCCUACGAUCCGUAGCUGGUCUGAGAGGAUGAUCAGCCACAUUGGGACUGAGACACGGCCCAAACUCCUACGGGAGGCAGCAGUGGGGAAUAUUGGACAAUGGGCGCAAGCCUGAUCCAGCCAUGCCGCGUGAGUGAUGAAGGCCCUAGGGUUGUAAAGCUCUUUCGGCGGGGAAGAUAAUGACUGUACCCGCAGAAGAAGCCCCGGCUAACUUCGUGCCAGCCGCCGCAGUAA
rnacentral:rRNA from 1 species